ACGUAGGGGGCAAGCGUUGUCCGGAAUUACUGGGCGUAAAGAGCACGUAGGCGGUUUAUUAAGUUAGAUGUGAAAGUUUGCAGCUUAACUGUAAAAGUGCAUUUAAAACUGGUAGACUUGAGUCUCGGAGAGGUAAGCGGAAUUCCUAGUGGAGCGGUGAGAUGCGUAGAGAUUAGGAAGAUUGCUGGUGGCGUGGGCAGGCGACAGGAGAGGUAUUCACUCUUGUAAGUGUGUGCCUGCAGCCCAAAUAA
rnacentral:rRNA from 1 species